GGUUAUCCGAAGUUGUACUCACAAAAUUAUAUGAUGGCGGACUGCAAAGGCUUAUUGUCCAACUGCUGCAACAUUAAGCAGGAUAAUAAGAUGGAAACAGGUCCAGCUGGAAUGAUUCUGAUUUCUACAUGAUUCCAGGUCCCUUAUUUCUCCCUUCCUUGUAUCAUGGGAUGGCAGCUCCAGGUUCCCCAAAUUAAUCUUGAAUUUGAUUGUACCACUAGGCUUUUGUCCAUGUUGUGUUUUGUAGUGUCCGGUAUUUGUGUAAGCUUUCUCUGGGUUCUCCAGUUUCCUCAGCUUCCAAAAAACAUGAAACAGAAUUGGCUACGCUCGGUGUGUGCUUAUGUCUGUGUGUGUGUGUGUGUGUGUCUGUGUGUGUGUGUGUGUGUGUUGGUGUGAUGAUGCCAAUUUCAACCCCAGCACCAUACACACAGCUGCAGUAAUUUAUAGGGCUGUCUCCUGGGAGUGUCACUUGCUGCAUGUAUGUGCUCUGAAAAUCAAUUACCCUGCUAUUGUGAUCUUGAAUGUGCUGUUUAGUGCUAAAGAAUUAAAUGAUGCUUCAUAACAAAUGCUGAUUUAAUAUUCAUUUUUUUUUAAAAAACAGCCAAUCCAAUGUAAUUAAAUGUAAAUUAAUUAACAGCAAAAUGUAAAUAUUUUACUGUACAUUGAAUUUGAAAUACAAUAUCUAAAUAUUGUUUCUAUAUAAACUCACAAAGCAAUUUUUUUAGAAAAUGGCUAUAAAACUGUAUAGAAUAGAUAAAAAGAUAUAUUGAAAACCCAGUGAAAAUGAAUAAAUUUCUAAAAAUGUUAAAAUUCUGCUCUUGCUGCUCUUCAAAAACAAAAGCUUUACUACAUGUCAUAUGGUGGCUAUACAAGUUUUUUUUGGGGGGGUAACUUUUUUAGUACAAACCAUUGUAUAUAAUUAAAUAUAAUCUUUUUUUUUUUAAUAGUAUUUUACUCAUUACUGUAGCAUACUUUGUUAAAGGCUGCUACAUUGCUUGGAAUGGAGAUAGGAAGAACUGAGGUGGAUUUUUGUCUCUUGCUUUGUUAAACUGAUGUUUAAAAGUCUGCCUGAA